AAAAAGGGGAGAGCUUGCAAAGGCUGCAGCUUUGCAAACUUUUAUUUUUUUUAAUAUACCUCCAAAACAAACAUGCAGAAAAAAAGUGCAGGUUUUCUUUCGGGGCAUAUUUACUAAAUUGUAAAAAUAAAAUUUGUUUUUAAAAUGUAAAUACAUGGUUAUCUCUGGUAUGUAAUACUAAAUCAGGAAGAAAAAAAACUACACUAG